rnacentral:rRNA from 1 species
GACGGGGCUCGCACAAGCGUGGGCAUGUUGGUUUAAUUCGAAGCAACGCGAAGAACCUUACCAGGUCUUGACAUCCCCUGACAACCCGAGAGAUCGGGCGUUCCCCUUCGGGGGACAGGGUGACAGGUGGUGCAUGGUUGUCGUCAGCUCGUGUCGUGAGAUGUUGGGUUAAGUCCCGCAACGAGCGCAACCCUCGACCUUAGUUGCCAGCAUUCAGUUGGGCACUCUAAGGUGACUGCCGGCUAAAAGUCGGAGGAAGGUGGGGAUGACGUCAAAUCAUCAUGCCCCUUAUGACCUGGGCUACACACGUGCUACAAUGGGCGGUACAAAGGGUCGCGAACCCGCGAGGGGGAGCCAAUCCCAAAAAGCCGCUCUCAGUUCGGAUUGCAGGCUGCAACUCGCCUGCAUGAAGCCGGAAUCGCUAGUAAUCGCGGAUCAGCAUGCCGCGGUGAAUACGUUCCCGGGCCUU